rnacentral:lncRNA from 1 species
GGAGAGAAGAAAGAAAGAAAACAGAGCAUCCUCUGUUUUGGAAGAAAGAGAAAUAAAAAAAUAUAGCCACCGAGCGUGCCAUAGAGGAGUUUUCUAAUUUCUUUUAUUUCUUCCUUUGUUUUUAUGUUUUAUUUUGUAGAAGGAGGAGGCACUAGGCUUCCAAACUUCAUUUUAUUUUUUUUGUAAUUGUCCUUUUAUGCAAUCCAUAAAUUUAUUUUUAUGCAAUCUAUGUUCUAAGUUUCAGUUUUCUUAAACACUGUUUUCAUCCAUGCCUAAGU